GAGAAAAAUAAGUUGGUUCUCUUAGCAGUUUCUAUUUUGCUAUCAUUAUUUUUGCUCUGAUGAAAAAAUCUUUUAGUAGAAUGUCUUUUAUGUUUGUCUCAGAAGCGAAAACGAAUUUGUUGGAAGUGACAAAAAUUUUAGUACACAAAGAUUAGCUGAGACAACAAGGUAUCCUAGUAGUAAUUACAAAUGAAAAUUUCGCUGUCUCAGCUGUUCCUCGCGUAGCAAUCUGUUUUGCACCCAGAUGCAAAUGGUUUGCUGAGCCGACAAAGUAUGUUAGCUAUAGAAUUACAUACGUAGGUAUGAGUCAACGGUCAGCAGAGAAAUAAAACCAAUUUCCGCAGCCCACUGCCUAAGUAGAAGUACAAGCGAAGCAGUAAGUUUCGGUUUCAUUUAUCAUUUUAAUUUUACGCGUAAGUGUUCUGUACCUUGAGCAAAUUAGCGGAAAUGUCGGAAUCAGAAUUGCAGUGUGUGAGUGUGGAAAGUGUUUCUGGUGAUACAUCGACGGUCUACUAAAAUGUUGGGGGCUAGAAAUGUUGAGUAGCGUCUUCAAAGGUAAGUCGAAAAAAUGUGUCUUUACUUUCUGUAAAUGUAUAAAGUAUAAAAUACCGCCGGCUAAGCGUCGAAAUCUAACGAUUGCCUCAAAAUGGCGACAAAAAAGACCCAGAUGUGAUAAUCGAACACGAGCUGAAGGUUGAUUUUACUAAGAGUAUACCGACAGCUCGGCUUGACAGUUUGGCGGUCAUCGUCCAGCGUAUGUUCCCAACAGAAACCAAAGAUUGUUAUUUUACCAUAGUAAACGAACAGGGCAAGAAAUCAGAGAGAGGUAAAUUAUUUACUAAAUAUUAUAAUUUGAGAAGACGAUUUACUAGUAUUCGAUUGAUUAAUAAAAAAAACUAAAAGUACAGCUACAGUUCAUGGUUCAAAUAAAGGUGAGAAUGUUACUUCCACAAACAUUACAUUACUUUUAAAAACAAUGAGUAUAAUGAAGAUGUGUAAAUUUGUAGAGAUUGGUGAAGAGAAGAGUGAAAUUGUCAAGUGGCUGGAGAACAAUGUAUCUCCAUGGACGUCUGUCAUUAACCAUUGGACUGAGACCUUUCAUACACGAAGGAAUUUAUUUUUGGAAUUACCAGAUCUCUGUGGCUACAAAGACAAUUUUUGCCAGACCGCACACAAUUUAGCUGCUAGUGCAAGUUUCGUCUAUUAUAGGAUAAUAACGCUCUUAGCAGCUGCAGCUAAAAUAAUUUGCUUAGAGAGCAAAGAGAUUCAGUGACCGGUACUUCAAUAUGUUAGUAGUGGCUACAAAUGGGACUGGUUCUAUUGCAAAUUUCAUCGAUUAUUGGAUACUAAAUUUACUGGCAGCCGCAGCUAAAGUUAUUUGUUACGAAAUCAAAAUAGUUUAGUAACAGGUACUUUCAGAUUUUAGUAGGAAAAGCAAAACGUAUUUAGUUACAUCAACUAAAAAUAGGUAGCAUUUUUUCUUUGCUCUUGCUGCAAAACUUUUAGCAGUCCAUAUAGGUGCAAAGAAAAUUAGCUGCAUAUACUUAUUUUUUUGUUCUUAUGACAAAUCAUUU